rnacentral:rRNA from 1 species
AGGACGAACGCUGGCGGCGUGCUUAACACAUGCAAGUGGUGCGACGAACCAGGGCUUGCCCUGGGGCAAAGCCGCGAACGGGUGAGUAACACGUGAGUAACCUGCCCCGAUGACCGGGACAACCCGAGGAAACUCGGGCUAAUACCGGAUGUGGCGCACAGGUCCAAGCCUGUUCGCUAAAGGAAGCUUCGGCCUCCGCUUUGGGAUGGGCUCGCGGUCUAUCAGCUUGUUGGUGGGGUAACGGCCUACCAAGGCGACGACGGAUAGCUGGUCUGAGAGGACGAUCAGCCACACUGGGACUGAGACACGGCCCAGACUCCUACGGGAGGCAGCAGUGGGGAAUCUUGCGCAAUGGGGGAAACCCUGACGCAGCGACGCCGCGUGCGGGAUGAAGGCCUUCGGGUUGUAAACCGCUUUCAGCAGGGACGAAAUUGACGGUACCUGCAGAAGAAGGCCGGCCAACUACGUGCCAGCAGCCGC